GAAUUUCUUGGAAACUUGCUUGGCAAAGCAAGAAAACAAGAAUGUAUAACAUAUUUCAAUCUGACAUACAGUAUAUAUUAUAUAUAUAAUAAUGAGACAAAACCAUUAAUAUUGUGAGGUUUAUCAUCUAGUUAAAGAAUGAAAAUGGCUGGAGCCAUUAAAAAAUGCACCUUACUGUGAAAACAUAUUUAAUUGGUUUCUGUUUUCUUUUGUUCCAUGAAGUUAUGUAUCCUCUUCAGUGCAACUUCUAGUGUCUGCUCGCUCAUGUUGGCAAAACACACCCUAAACCAACCUGGUUCAGAGCAAUGGCAAGAAGAUCCAGGAGAUAUAUUCAGCUUCAAGUCAUGAAUAAUAGAGUUCCAAAGACUCAAUUCACCUUCUUUCGUUGGUGUCUUCAAUAAAGGGCUUAAAUUCAUCCAGCAAAAUAACCCAGCAUUACCUUUCAAACACUCUAUCCCUGCACUUCUCAACCCUUGAAUGAUCAUUUCAUACCUUUUCCUCAGUCUCUCUCUAUUUAUCUUAAUAUAAUUCUUGGUGAAUACCUUGUCAGACAACAUGGUAGCCAAAAGAUGUUGUGUUUGCGAGGAAAUCAAGGUGAAGCUAGACAUCUUUCUUGCAGUUGUAACAACCUUGUCAUUGUAGGAAUAUAUAGUUCCAACGCGAAAACCUGGGAGACCAAGAUCUUUUGAAAGACUGUAAACAAUGUGAACUCUUUCUGAAUCUUUAUAUCCACGAGCUUCCAGAAUUUCUGCAAUGCUUACGAAUUCAGAUGAUGAGAAGGUGGAUCCUGAGUAGAUUUCAUCAGACACGAGAUGGAUGUUUUUUUGUGUGGCGAAGUCAAGAAUGUCUUCCAGGACUGAACGCUGGAUUGUGGCACCUAAUGGGUUUGAAGGAUUGGUUAUAAGUACUCCUCUCACUUUGAUGUUCAUGGCUUCUGCAUCUUUAUAAGCAGCUUCCAAGGCUUGAGGAGUGACCUGGAAAUUGUUUGAGCUGUCGCAAUGAAUUGGUACAAUUUUUACACCAGUCCUCCACCUUAAAUCUCUGUCAAAUCCUGGAUAGUAUGGAAUUGGAACUAGCAAAGCAUCCCCGGGAUCAGCUAGAAUGAAGAUCAACAACUCGUUAGCUGCGGUUGCGCCUGCAGUUAGGACUACUCUAUCGGGGUCAAAUUUUGCUCUUCCCCCUCUAAUUUGUUCCAUGAAACUUGCCAUUGCCUGUCUGAAAGAUUUCAGUCCAUGGUAAUCUUGAAACAAGGCAUUCUCUCUGAAGCCAGUCGCUCCUUGUCCCCAGGUAGAUGCUUCAGAAUGCUUUUCCAA
rnacentral:misc_RNA from 1 species